GCCGGGCAUAGUGGCACAUGCCUGUAAUCCCAGCUACCUGGGAGGCUGAGGCAGGAGAAUCGCUGGAACCCAGGAGGCAGAGGGUGCAGUGAGCCGAGAUCAUGCCACUGCACUCCAGCCUGGGUGACAGAGCAAGACCCUGUCUCAA
rnacentral:SRP_RNA from 1 species